CGAAGUGUUGGCCUACUAAGUUGUUUCAAUGGGAAUACCUGAAGAUACAAAGGAUUCUUGACUAGAGAGGGACCAGCUAAAAUACUCAGAGAAAAUGGUGGCCUCUGAAACUACUUGGAUUCUUAAAAACUCCAGGUAGUGAGCUCCAAGCACGUGGCAAGCAUUAAACGCAUUGAAAUGGAGAUGCAUCUUUGAGAUAAAUAGGAGCCCAGGAGCUGCUUUCCGUGGAGGAGCUGAGGGAUUGAGAUCCGGAGCAGAAAACACAGUAAAGAGAAGAGCCCAAGGAUUUGAGAGAAGGAACGUGUUGAUGGAGGAAUAGCUCUCCCAGGGGAAAUGAAAGGACUUUCUCAUCCGUGGUUCACCUGAAUGUGCAGCGUCCAGUGAAAGUGACAAGAGAGUAUGUUGUUUGUGAAAUGUGCACCUGCAGUGACAUCCUCACCUUUCCAGCACUGAUGCCACUGUAGACGUUUUUCCAGCCCUCUUUAUACUCUUCAGACAGCGUGAUCUACCUUGGCAGGCCUUUUUCCUAAAUUUUAACCCUCAAAGAUGCUAAGAUGGGGCUACACAUAUGGUAUGAACAGAAUGAAUGGAAGCAACUCAGUGCAAAGAGAAGCAUUUAUUUAACCUCAGGAAGAGAGACAAAUAGGCCCUUCUUAAAUUGGUAUAGAACUAUUGGGUUGUUCUUUAUGUGAUUGUUCCUUCUUAAUUUUAGUAAAAUAUUUCAGUUUGGGGGAAAUACCUUUCCUAGCUAAUAAGAUAUAAAAAGAGAACACUUCAAAUAUUUGCAACUCUUCCUCUAGAAUUUCAUGCUAAUUUGGCCUCUCUCCCUCCUCCAUUUCUUUCUAUGCAAAUCAUUCUUGUAUAUUUCUUCCAAUGUAUUUUUCAUGAAGAAAACAUAGUAGAAAGUCAAAGGUAAGCAGAACAGAUCAAGGCAGAGCUUCACCUUUCUCCAAGAAGUCUUCCAGACUUCUUUAGAUGUAAUGCUCUUGAAGGCAAGAAAUGUGUCAAUUUUAUCUCUGUUGGUAUCUGGCACAUAUAGGUACACAGUAAAUUAUCUGACUCUAUCAAUAAAUGAGCAAACAAGAAUGGAUGAAGAAAGGAGAUGUUUUUCUAAGGCUCUCAAAGAUGAUUUAUAGAACAUUUUGGAAAUGGGCCCACUUUGUUUCCAAAGGAAAUUUUACUUUCAAAUUAAAAAAAAAAAUUUACCCAAAUGAGAUUUUGGGGGAUUUCAUGUGAUUAACUCUUUACAUUAUCUUGUAGUAAUUAUACAGAAAUCUCUAUUUAUGUAAACAUGGUGAAUGCAUCAUAACACUAGAAUAAGUGUACAAAUACUGCAUGUCAAAUUAGGUUAUAAUCACUUUCAAGGGACGUGAUUUCCUAGUUAAACAGAUUCGUUUACAUCUUGUGAAAUAAAAAAUAAGUGAAAAUAACUAUAUAAAAUCAGGCUUACAGCUGGACAGAUCUUCUUGGCAAUGGUCCAGGCACUGAGCGGGGAAAGCCCCUCCA